GCUUUCAUCGGCAGCACAUUACUAUAAUUGGAAUGAUACGGAGGUUAUGGAGGACCCUGCGCAAGGAUGACAUGCAAACUCGUGAACAGUCCAUAGUCCAU
rnacentral:snRNA from 1 species